GCCAGGUUGGCCGAGUGGUCUAAGGCGCCAGACUUAAGUUCUGGUUCCCUUCAUGGGAUCGUGGGUUCGAACCCCACACCUGGCA